UUGAUUCAUUAGCCUUAAUUUUAGUUAUAUUGUAUUAUAUUGUGUUAUCCUGUAUUUCGAUAUAGAAUUUAGUAAAUAAGUGUGCCUCCUUAGAUUGUUGCCUCUGUUCUCUUUUCUAAUUCCCCUUUUUUCCCUUUCCUUUUGGGCCAGCAAACCUGCAGGCCAGCUGUCCCCCCGUCACUGGCACAGGUAGAUUUUCGCUUAACCCGUGACAUGCAUAAAGCAGCACACAUUAAUACUGUAGUCCUACUUGGUCUGCGUUUUAAAUACAGAAGUCACACUUAGGCUGUAUUAUUCUGCACAGGAAACAUAGCUAUAUUUGUCAGGGGAUGGGAUCAGUGGGACUUCUGUUGUUUUGCAUCCUGAUACACUUCAGUCUGCGGUGAAGCUUGAGAUUCCUUCAAUGUGUACAGCUGAGUAUAAAGACAGUAUUGCACAUCCUAACCAACUCUGCAGGAAUACUAAAACAACGGGCCUUCUUUGGAAACUUACAUCUUAAUAAGGUGCUAAAGAAUUUCUAACUCAGAAAGGCCGAGCAGAGUUUUCUUGCCUCAAGGUGUGCCUCAAGAGGUGCUUUGUGAGGUCAUAAUGGGCAUCAUGGUGAUGUUCAGGAACCCCAUACUAUGUCACGCCAGGAGGUACCAGUUGACCAGUCUUGCCUCAAGCCUCCAAAGGAGGGUGCCUUGCUGGUUGUGGACGAGAGGUAGCAUGGGGCAACUACGGGAGAGAAUUGCUCCCAGGUGUUGCUUUUUGCUCUUCCUUCUCCUUUUCCUUGUGACUCCAUGUCAUGGGCGACCCCGCAAUGUUGCGUGGGAAGCACUUAGUCCAGAUUAUCGUGUCGGUGACACGUAUGAAGCAGAUCCCAUGGAAGGUGAUCUGGAACGUCUCCAGGAUUCCAGGGAUCUGCCUGUACGCCGUAUAUCUGGGAUGCGCCGUUUUCAUCAACCUCAAGGCUACCCCAGGGCUGUUGCACCUCAGAUUCCUUAUCCACGUUCUCAGAUGGAUCUCGAUUUUGGGCCUGAAGAGUAUCCCAAAGCUGCCGGAGGUGUGAGAACUGCAGAGCAUGUGGAACAGAAACAAGGAGGAUAUAAAUCUGCCUUUGCAGUGCUUGCCGUUCUGUUCUUUCUGAUGGUCCUGGCUGCUUUGGCUUACCUGGCAAAACGUCUGCUGAUGAAGAGACAAAAAAAAACAAUGACAUUUGAAGCUGUCAUGAAAAAUGAAGACCCAGCUCCAGCAGAAAAACGACAGCCAGUAGCUCGAAUUACCAUAGAAAUUCAAGAUGUUUCUGGGGAUUCACAGUCACGUCGGAAGGGUCUUGUCCGAUGUAUAUUCUCACCAAUCACUGCCUUAUUCAGACAGUCCCCACAGCAAUCCUCUAAGCUUGACCUUUGCUUGCACUCAGGAAUCUCUGGUACAAGCAAAAAGGCACUAACAUCAGGAAAAGAGGAGAAAAAUGCAUCCUGAUGUGGAAAAGCAGUGAAAUUGGUUGAAUCAUAGAACUCCUGGUGGACUUUCCCAGUUCCAGCAGUCCAUUUCUGAUUCAGUACUUAGGAUGACCAUUAUAGCAUUCACCGCUUAUUCCAUAUCAUGACAUCAUGCCCAAGUUGUUUACAACACAUAUAUGUAUAUCUAAACAGUCAAUAAACUAUAAUUACCAUCAUAGUACA
ensembl:lncRNA uncharacterized LOC107307923